CAUUAGAUGGCUGAAAGUAAGCUCUGGUCUCUUAAACCAUUUCAUAGUAAAUUAACACAUACUUCUAAUGA
rnacentral:tRNA from 1 species